rnacentral:rRNA from 1 species
CCUACGGGCGGCUGCAGUGGGGAAUAUUGCACAAUGGGCGCAAGCCUGAUGCAGCCAUGCCGCGUGUGUGAAGAAGGCCUUCGGGUUGUAAAGCACUUUCAGCGGGGAGGAAGGCGGUGAGGUUAAUAACCUCAUCGAUUGACGUUACCCGCAGAAGAAGCACCGGCUAACUCCGUGCCAGCAGCCGCGGUAAUACGGAGGGUGCAAGCGUUAAUCGGAAUUACUGGGCGUAAAGCGCACGCAGGCGGUCUGUCAAGUCGGAUGUGAAAUCCCCGGGCUCAACCUGGGAACUGCAUUCGAAACUGGCAGGCUAGAGUCUUGUAGAGGGGGGUAGAAUUCCAGGUGUAGCGGUGAAAUGCGUAGAGAUCUGGAGGAAUACCGGUGGCGAAGGCGGCCCCCUGGACAAAGACUGACGCUCAGGUGCGAAAGCGUGGGGAGCAAACAGGAUUAGAUACCCUAUAGUC